rnacentral:lncRNA from 1 species
AAGUUCCAAUCAUAACAUCCUUGUCUUACAAUGAAGCAUGUUUCAUCACUCACCUUCUCCUUCCUCAUCUUUGUUUUCAUCACAAACUUUUCACUAACUUUCUCAAUAAACUUUGUUGAACAAGUAUUGGACGUAAAUGGUAACCCCAUUUUUCCAGGUGGCAAAUACUAUAUCUUGCCAGCAAUUCGUGGUCCCGCUGGUGGAGGACUAAGACUAGCAAAAACAGGUAACUCAGAAUGUGAAGUUACUGUCUUACAAGACUACCAUGAAGUUAUAAACGGGGUACCAGUGAAAUUCAGUAUACCAGGAAUAGGUCCUGGUAUAAUCUUCACUGGUACAUCGAUUGAGAUUGAGUUCACAAAGAGGCCAAACUGCGCCGAAUCUUCAAAAUGGUUGAUAUUUGUUGACGAUGUUAUUCAAAAAGCUUGUGUUGGUAUUGGUGGUCCUGAAAAUUAUCCUGAUUUUAAAACAUUGAGCGGCACUUUUAAUAUUGAGAAACAUGAAUCUGGAUUUGGUUAUAGGCUUGGAUAUUGUGUUAAAGAUUCUCCUACUUGUUUGGAUAUUGGGAGAUCAGAUGGUAAUGAGGAUGAAGGUGGAUCACGGUUGAAUUUGACUCAUCAAAUUGCUUAUGCGGUUGUGUUUGUAGAUGCUGAUUCUUAUGAAGCUGGAAUUAUUAAAUCUGUUGCUUGAUACCUUUGUUGUUAAUCUAAACUAGUAAUAUAGUCUCUUUGUUCUUAUUAUGAUGAAUAAGAAGUAUGAGCUUCAAUAAUGCAAGCACCUUAGUAAUUGCACUUUCUUUUUGGGUGUUGAAGAUGUAUUCCAUUUUCUGGUCUUACUUAUAUAUUUACUUCUUUUCUCAUAUUUGUUAUAUAAUAUUUCAUCUUAUUAUAAUUAAAAUAUGAUUGAUCAUUUCGUCAUAUUUAUUGAAUUUUCUUAACAACUCAAAAUAUAAGUCUUUAAAUUUAUCGAAAAGUUGAAUCACACCCAAGAACAAAGAAAAAAAAUAAUGGCAACAAAGAUAAAUAGUUUUAAGCAAAAAUAAUAAUAAAAUAUUAAUUUAACUUGAUGAAAGAAGAUAUAUAAAAGACAAAAAAUACAAUAGUGUGUUUACCUAUUUUGAUAAAACGAAUUAUUUUGGAUGGAGAGAGUAAUUCUCCGAUUCAUUAUAUUUCUAAAAAUUCUUACAAAAAAUUACAAAUGAGUUACAAAGAGUCAACCAAGUUCGCAAGAACAAACCAUAUUUUCUAGGGGUGUUCGCGGUUUGGUUUGGAUCGGUUUUGAGACAAAAAAUCAUCCGAUCCAAAGAUACAAAGAGCAUACGGUUUGGUUCGGUUAUUGGAUGACAAUAAAAAAAAUCCAAUCCGAUCCCAAUUUAUACGGUUUACUUCGGUUCGGUUUAUUCGGUUUUUAAACAAACACUACUUCUAAAAUCAAAAAUAUUUUAAUUAAUUUUUUUUAAAUUCUGACAAAAAAUAUUUUCUAAUAAUAUAUAUAUAUAUAUAUAUAUAUAUAUAUAUAUAUAUUAUUUAUAAUAACCAAUUUAAUUUUACAUGCCCGUGGAAUCCGUGGAGGUGAAUUUUCCAAUAUGACACUUCAAAUAUUAAAUGAAUUUUCCUGCAACAAUUUAAUAUUUUUUACAUGCCUUGGUGAAUUUUUUGAACAAUCAAUUUGCAUGAAGGAAAACAAUUCAAUUUAAUUUUCCGUCAACAAUUGGAUUGAACAAAAAGAACAACAAUAAAUUUAAUAUAAUUUCAAUAGAAUUGCAAUAAAGAAUUAAUUUAAGAAUUAAUUUAAUAUACUUUAGAAUCUUGCAACAAUUUCAAUUUCAUGUAUGUAACAAAACAACAAUCAUCACUUGAAGAAAGCAAAUCAAGAACAAUUAUUGAAUUGCAAAUUCAAGAACAAUUCAAUUUUCCAAAUAGAAAUUUAAUUUUUCUGCCAACAAAACAAAAAUCAACAAACAUUGCCAGGACAACAACAGUUUUUCAGAAAAUUAUUACAGGAAUCAACAGAACAAUAACAUAACUGUAGAAAUCAUAAUAAAAGCAUGUGUAUUUCCUGAUAAUCAAAAUCACCAUUCUUUCUAAAUUAGCCACAAACAAUUCCAGCUUGUUAAUAAGAAUAUCCAUGUCUUUCUAAGGUCUGUUCUGCAAAAACAAAAACAAAAAAACAAACAUAUCAAUAGAGUGAAUCAUUUGCAGCAACUAAACAAACAAUAUGAUCAUAUUAGUAUAAGCAAUACAGUCAUACCAUAUCAAGACUAGCUCAAAGUAGCAUAGCUAAUCAGAAUCAAUAUCAGAUAUAUCUUCAUUCAAUUGUGGAAUUGGAACAAGUUCUACAAAAGUAAACCAUAUUCAAGAUAAAAACAAGAUAAAUAUUAAUAUGAAAGGAUAAGAAUGUUAAACAAAAAAAUAAUACAAGUUAUAAUUAAUUUACCUAAUUCCAGAUUUUCUAAUUCAUCCACAAGCUCUUCAAUAUCAACUGACACUAGGGAUGCUUUACACCAAUUUUGUGUGCAAAUUAAUGCUUCAACUAUCUUUGGUGUAAGAGAGCUUCUAUAACAAGUAAGCACUCUACCUCCGGUAGAGAAAGCGGACUCCGAAGCAACAGUUGACACAGGCAUUGCCAAUACAUCACUAGCCAUUUGACCAAGAAUAUGAUACUUGUUGGAAUUCACCUUCCACCAAUUCAAGAUAUCAAAACCAGGACUUUUCUUCUCUAAUUUCUCCAUGAGAUACAAAUCCACCUCAUUUUUCUGCAUGCUCUCAUUUAGAUUCAUGUCCAUCUCAACUUCCAAAGCAAAUGCAUCCNUUACCUUCAUGGGUCAUUUCUUUUUUGAUCUCUUAAUUUCUCGUUGAAGCGAGCUUGCAAAGCGAUCUCCGUCUUUGCCUUAUCAGAAUUUCUCUCUCCAUCAUUGCUCAUGAGCCUCAAGAGUUUUGCAACUUCUCCUUGCUCAUCAUCGCAAGAUCCUUCGAUUCCUCAAUAUCCACAAACUACAUUGUUAAAUCUUGUGUUAAAGAACGCAAGAUUUUUGUGACAACAUAUUGCUCCAUAAUGUUUCUUCGCAGCCUUUACUUGAUUCACUAACCGAGUGAUUCUCGUUGUGAAAUCGUUUGAUUGUUUCAUUUUCUUUCAUUUGAAUCAAUUCGAGAUGAUCUUUUGAGGUUAUAAACCUCACCACCUUCGCCUUUUCAUCCCCUGCAUAGGCCAUCUCUAAGAUCUUCCACGCUUGCUUGGAUGAUUCACAAUUAUCAACUUUCUCAAAUUGUCACCAUCAACACAUUGUUGGAUAAAAAGAAGCACCUUGAAAUCUUUCUUCUUCUCUUCCUUAUGUGUUGCUUGUUGUGCAUCUGUUGCACCCGCUACAAGAGGAGUAACCCCGUUCUUGAUCACUUCAAGAACAUCUUGGAACCAAACAACACUUUCAUUUGCUUGACAUUUGUCAUAAUUCUUCGCCAUCAAGGAUUAUAAGCUUGUAGAGAUUCUUUAAUUGGAACAUAAUUCAUGUUGCACACUAUCUGUUUGUGGAUCAGACCAAUCUCUUCAUGCCAAAUAUUGGAACUUUGACCACAAGAUUGGUGAACAAUGGUUGAGAGAAUUGGAAUGUGGACAGUGAAAAGAAAAUUGAGAGAGAGAGAGAGAGAGAGAGAGAGAGAAUUGAGGGUGAGAUUGAAUAUUGCAUUAGCAGGGAUGGAAUAAUCCUAUACAUUUAUACAAAUAUUAUAUUAUAAUUGGGAACCAAAACAAUUAAAUGAAAUAACAAAAAGUAUAAAAUUCAGGCUCGUAACCGAUUACAUAAUUAAUUAACCGGUUAAAGUUGAUAUUAAUUAAAUUUCAUUCAGUGGUAAUCACUUUACACCACAUAUUAACUAGUUAGAGUUGUGAAUUCUUCAUUUUCUACUACUUGGAAGUACUGUUAAUCUUGCUAUAAUCGUACUUGAAAGACCCUUACAAACACAAUUUUAAUUCCACACAAGGAAAAAAAACUGUUAUAUUACAAAAGUAUUAAGUAUUACGCAAAAAAAAUAGUUUACAUAGUUGAAAAUUAAAAUUCGAAAAAGUAUGUGAGAUAAAAGUACGUUUAACCCCAAAAAAAACAUGUUAAAAAAUACACGCAGCAUAUAGUAUUCUUAUAAUAAGACUAUGCUCCACGUGAAAAUAUUAAAAUUCCUCGUUACAUUUUAGCGCAAUUAGCAAUUAAAAUAUAAUUCCUCUUUUUAUCUGAAUUAAAACACGACAAGUUGUGCCUCUUGGAACGCGUGCAUGGUUAUUAUAUAAAAAUUAAACACAACUUCCAAAUAAAACACAUUAGUAAUAAAUCGAUCACAUUCAAGUUCCAAUCAUAACAUCCUUGUCUUACAAUGAAGCAUGUUUCAUCACUCACCUUCUCCUUCCUCAUCUUUGUUUUCAUCACAAACUUUUCACUAACUUUCUCAAUAAACUUUGUUGAACAAGUAUUGGACGUAAAUGUAACCCCAUUUUUCCGGUGGCAAAUACUAUAUCUUGCCAGCAAUUCGUGGUCCCGCUGGUGGAGGACUAAGACUAGCAAAAACAGGUAACUCAGAAUGUGAAGUUACUGUCUUACAAGACUACCAUGAAGUUAUAAACGG